AGUGAACGCUGGCGGUAGGCCUAACACAUGCAAGUCGAACGGCAGCACAGUAAGAGCUUGCUCUUACGGGUGGCGAGUGGCGGACGGGUGAGGAAUACAUCGGAAUCUACUUUUUCGUGGGGGAUAACGUAGGGAAACUUACGCUACUACCGCAUACGACCUACGGGUGAAAGCAGGGGAUCUUCGGACCUUGCGCGAUUGAAUGAGCCGAUGUCGGAUUAGCUAGUUGGCGGGGUAAAGGCCCACCAAGGCGACGAUCCGUAGCUGGUCUGAGAGGAUGAUCAGCCACACUGGAACUGAGACACGGUCCAGACUCCUACGGGAGGCAGCAGUGGGGAAUAUUGGACAAUGGGCGCAAGCCUGAUCCAGCCAUACCGCGUGAGUGAAGAAGGCCUUCGGGUUGUAAAGCCCUUUUGUUGGGAAAGAAAAGCAGCAGGUUAAUACCCCGCUGUUCUGACGGUACCCAAAGAAUAAGCACCGGCUAACUUCGUG
rnacentral:rRNA from 1 species